rnacentral:misc_RNA from 1 species
CGGUCGUGUGUUACGGCGAUCACGGUUCCGGCAUAUUUCUGCAGGUGCUGUUCAAGCCACAAUACCGAUUCGGCAUCCAGGUGGUUCGUAGGCUCAUCGAGCAGCAACACAUCCGGUGCCUGCAAAAGAAGACGGCACAAUGCAAGCCUUCUGCGUUCGCCGCCUGAAAGUUUUGCCACCGGCGUAUCUCCUUCCGGACAACGAAGUGCGUCCAUGGCUACUUCAAUUUUAUUAUCAAGCUCCCAUCCGCCUGCA